UGGUUGUGACUUGAUGUGGUCUCAUGGCGGGAUCCGGAUGACAUUUAUUUCAAAAGAAAAAAAAAAGCACCGAUUCCUCCUUUUAUGGAUCACGUUGCUUCUUGGAGUGAGAUCUCAUUGUCGAAAUACUCGCAACUGAUGUGGACCCGGGCGGGGGUCACAUUAAGCCUUCCGCUUGAGACAAAAUUUUAAGCCGAGGCUUGUGACCGAAUUUACACUUCAUGCUUCAACUUCCUGCACAAGAAGCGUGCUGCACCUACUUCCUGGUUUGGCAGUCAUGCAUUUCCUCAACCGUCCUCUGCUUUCAGAGUGGAUAUUGUUCUUUUUUUUCCUGCCCUGAUGGUGUUUAAAAAAAAAAAAUGUAUCAUGCAAACAAAGAGAACAGCACUCAGAAUCCAAAGCAGUGCCAUUCAUGUCUGCCCUCAUUGCGUUUGGUCGGCUCCUACCGCAAGUGUCGUCACGGUGUUAAUUCUUCCCGGUGGCGCCUUCUGACGGAUUUUUUCAACCGUCAUCACAAUUGGAUGGCAGGAUUCCGAACGACACAGAGCGCCGUAAGCAUGUGAUCUCUUGAACUCUUACCGCCGUGCUUACCGUUUGAUAUUGAUGGCCGCAAACGGUUUUUCAUACCAACACGACACUACUACUGCGUUAACGUAGCUUUGUGAUAGACUACGACGCAUGCCAAAGUGUGUACGAAUUCGGGUUACGUCGCCAAAGUAGGAACAAAAGUCCUUCUUAAAUUGUGGAAGCCCCCUUGUGCAAUGGCUGAAGAAAUUGCGUGAAUGCUGAGAGAUGCCAAAGAAAUCGGGAGGUAAAUGUAGGUUAACGCAUUACAGGAUACCGUCGCCAUUAAUGAUCAAUUGAAGAGAAACUUUGCAAUUAAAGAAAAACACUUUGUCAUAUUUGUUAAAGCACAUGACUGAAAUAUUCUGUGGGGGGGGGGGGGGGGGAUCAAAUCUUUGGCUUCAUCUUGUACAUCCAAUGAGAUUUUAUUCAACACAGCGCCCAAAGAAAAUCAACCAAUCAGAGACAGAAUGUGUGAGGUCUGAAUCAUUUGCUGUGCACUCGCAGGGAAAUGUGUGCAACAAAACAUCCUACUAUUGGCAAGUAGCCGUGCUCCCAGAGUCAGCUAAUGACAGCACGCGGAAUAAGAAAACUGAUGGCUGGAUACGAUCGUUAAAAAAAAAAAAUCUAACGUUUGAAUGUGUGAGUGUU